UACGAGAGGCGCAAACGUUAUUCGGAAUUACUGGGCUUAAAGAGUUCGUAGGCGGCGCAGAAAGUAGGGUGUGAAAGCCCUCGGCUCAACCGAGGAAUUGCGCUCUAAACUACUGUGCUUGAGGAAGCUAGAGGUGAGCAGAACAGAUGGUGGAGCGGUGAAAUGCGUUGAUAUCAUCUGGAAUACCGGAGGCGAAGGCGGCUCACUGGGGCUUUUCUGACGCUGAGGAACGAAAGCCAGGGUAGCGAACGGG
rnacentral:rRNA from 1 species